rnacentral:rRNA from 1 species
UUAAGCGACUAAGCGUACACGGUGGAUGCCCUGGCAGUCAGAGGCGAUGAAGGACGUGCUAAUCUGCGAAAAGCGUCGGUAAGGUGAUAUGAACCGUUAUAGCCGGCGAUGUCCGAAUGGGGAAACCCAGUGCAAUUCGUUGCACUAUCGUUAACUGAAUACAUAGGUUAACGAGGCGAACCGGGGGAACUGAAACAUCUAAGUACCCCGAGGAAAAGAAAUCAACCGAGAUUCCCCCAGUAGCGGCGAGCGAACGGGGAGCAGCCCAGAGUCUGAAUCAGCUUGUGUGUUAGUGGAACGGUCUGGAAAGUCCGACGGUACAGGGUGAUAGUCCCGUACACCAAAAUGCACAGGUUGUGAACUCGAAGAGUAGGGCGGGACACGUGGUAUCCUGUCUGAAUAUGGGGGGACCAUCCUCCAAGGCUAAAUACUCCUGACUGACCGAUAGUGAACCAGUACCGUGAGGGAAAGGCGAAAAGAACCCCGGCGAGGGGAGUGAAAAAGAACCUGAAACCGUGUACGUACAAGCAGUGGGAGCACCUUCGGGUGUGACUGCGUACCUUUUGUAUAAUGGGUCAGCGACUUAUAUUCUGUAGCAAGGUUAACCGUAUAGGGGAGCCGCAGGGAAACCGAGUCUUAACUGGGCGUUAAGUUGCAGGGUAUAGACCCGAAACCCGGUGAUCUAGCCAUGGGCAGGUUGAAGGUUGGGUAACACUAACUGGAGGACCGAACCGACUAAUGUUGAAAAAUUAGCGGAUGACUUGUGGCUGGGGGUGAAAGGCCAAUCAAACCGGGAGAUAGCUGGUUCUCCCCGAAAGCUAUUUAGGUAGCGCCUCGUGAACUCAUCUUCGGGGGUAGAGCACUGUUUCGGCUAGGGGGUCAUCCCGACUUACCAACCCGAUGCAAACUACGAAUACCGAAGAAUGUUAUCACGGGAGACACACGGCGGGUGCUAACGUCCGUCGUGAAGAGGGAAACAACCCAGACCGCCAGCUAAGGUCCCAAAGUCAUGGUUAAGUGGGAAACGAUGUGGGAAGGCACAGACAGCCAGGAUGUUGGCUUAGAAGCAGCCAUCAUUUAAAGAAAGCGUAAUAGCUCACUGGUCGAGUCGGCCUGCGCGGAAGAUGUAACGGGGCUAAACCAUGCACCGAAGCUGCGGCAGCGACACUAUGUGUUGUUGGGUAGGGGAGCGUUCUGUAAGCCUGCGAAGGUGACCUGUGAGGGUUGCUGGAGGUAUCAGAAGUGCGAAUGCUGACAUAAGUAACGAUAAAGCGGGUGAAAAGCCCGCUCGCCGGAAGACCAAGGGUUCCUGUCCAACGUUAAUCGGGGCAGGGUGAGUCGACCCCUAAGGCGAGGCCGAAAGGCGUAGUCGAUGGGAAACAGGUUAAUAUUCCUGUACUUGGUGUUACUGCGAAGGGGGGACGGAGAAGGCUAUGUUAGCCGGGCGACGGUUGUCCCGGUUUAAGCAUGUAGGCUGGUUGUCCAGGCAAAUCCGGAUAAUCAAGGCUGAGGUGUGAUGACGAGGCACUACGGUGCUGAAGUAACAAAUGCCCUGCUUCCAGGAAAAGCCUCUAAGCAUCAGGUAACAUCAAAUCGUACCCCAAACCGACACAGGUGGUCAGGUAGAGAAUACCAAGGCGCUUGAGAGAACUCGGGUGAAGGAACUAGGCAAAAUGGUGCCGUAACUUCGGGAGAAGGCACGCUGGUGUGUAGGUGAAGCCCCUGCGGGUGGAGCUGAGACCAGUCGAAGAUACCAGCUGGCUGCAACUGUUUAUUAAAAACACAGCACUGUGCAAACACGAAAGUGGACGUAUACGGUGUGACGCCUGCCCGGUGCCGGAAGGUUAAUUGAUGGGGUUAUCCGUAAGGAGAAGCUCUUGAUCGAAGCCCCGGUAAACGGCGGCCGUAACUAUAACGGUCCUAAGGUAGCGAAAUUCCUUGUCGGGUAAGUUCCGACCUGCACGAAUGGCGUAAUGAUGGCCAGGCUGUCUCCACCCGAGACUCAGUGAAAUUGAACUCGCUGUGAAGAUGCAGUGUACCCGCGGCAAGACGGAAAGACCCCGUGAACCUUUACUAUAGCUUGACACUGAACAUUGAGCCUUGAUGUGUAGGAUAGGUGGGAGGCUUUGAAGCGUGGACGCCAGUCUGCGUGGAGCCAACCUUGAAAUACCACCCUUUAAUGUUUGAUGUUCUAACGUUGGCCCCUUACCGGGGUUGCGGACAGUGUCUGGUGGGUAGUUUGACUGGGGCGGUCUCCUCCCAAAGCGUAACGGAGGAGCACGAAGGUUAGCUAAUCCUGGUCGGACAUCAGGAGGUUAGUGCAAUGGCAUAAGCUAGCUUGACUGCGAGCGUGACGGCGCGAGCAGGUGCGAAAGCAGGUCAUAGUGAUCCGGUGGUUCUGAAUGGAAGGGCCAUCGCUCAACGGAUAAAAGGUACUCCGGGGAUAACAGGCUGAUACCGCCCAAGAGUUCAUAUCGACGGCGGUGUUUGGCACCUCGAUGUCGGCUCAUCACAUCCUGGGGCUGAAGUAGGUCCCAAGGGUAUGGCUGUUCGCCAUUUAAAGUGGUACGCGAGCUGGGUUUAGAACGUCGUGAGACAGUUCGGUCCCUAUCUGCCGUGGGCGCUGGAGAAUUGAGGGGGGCUGCUCCUAGUACGAGAGGACCGGAGUGGACGCAUCACUGGUGUUCGGGUUGUCAUGCCAAUGGCACUGCCCGGUAGCUAAAUGCGGAAGAGAUAAGUGCUGAAAGCAUCUAAGCACGAAACUUGCCCCGAGAUGAGUUCUCCCUGAGACUUUAAGUCUCCUGAAGGAACGUUAAAGACGAUGACGUUGAUAGGCCGGGUGUGUAAGCGCAGCGAUGCGUUGAGCUAACCGGUACUAAUGAACCGUGAGGCUUAACCUU